rnacentral:rRNA from 1 species
UACGGGGGGGGGCAAGCGUUUGUUCGGAAUUACUGGGCGUAAAGGGCUCGUAGGCGGCCAACUAAGUCAUACGUGAAAUCCCUCGGCUUAACCGGGGAACUGCGUCUGAUACUGGAUGGCUUGAGAUUGGGAGAGGGAUGCGGAAUUCCAGGUGUAGCGGUGAAAUGCUAGAGAUGUGGAGGAAUACCGAUGCGAAGGCAGCCCCCUGGGAUAACACUG